GAUGAACGCUGGCGGCGUGCCUAAUACAUGCAAGUCGAGCGAACAGACGAGGAGCUUGCUCCUCUGACGUUAGCGGCGGACGGGUGAGUAACACGUGGAUAACCUACCUAUAAUACUUGGAUAACUUCGGGAAACCGGAGCUAAUACCGGAUAAUAUAUUGAACCGCAUGGUUCAAUAGUGAAAUACGGUUUUGCUGUCACUUAUAGAUGGAUCCGCGCCGCAUUAGCUAGUUGGUAAGGUAACGGCUUACCAAGGCGACGAUGCGUAGCCGACCUGAUCGGGUGAGCGGACACACGGGAACUGAGACACGGACCAGAAUCCUACGGGAGGCAGCAGUAGGGAAUAUUACGCAAAGGGCGAAAGCCUGACGGAGCAAAGCCGCGUGAGUGAUGAAGGUCUUCGGAUCGUAAAACUCUGUUAUUAGGGAAGAAAAAAUGUGUAAGUAAAUAUGCACGUAUUGACGGUACCUAAUCAGAAAGCCACGGCUAACUACGUG
rnacentral:rRNA from 1 species